rnacentral:rRNA from 1 species
UGGUGGAGUGAUUUGUCUGGUUAAUUCCGUUAGCGAACGACACCGCAACCUGUAAAAAAGUUACGCGAAAAAUCGGCUACGCGGGCAACUUCUUAGAGGGACUUUGUGCGUCUAGCGCAAGGAAGUUUGAGGCAAUAACA